rnacentral:rRNA from 1 species
GAUGAACGCUGGCGGCGUGCCUAAUACAUGCAAGUCGAGCGAACAGAUGAGGAGCUUGCUCCUCUGACGUUAGCGGCGGACGGGUGAGUAACACGUGGAUAACCUACCUAUAAGACUGGGAUAACUUCGGGAAACCGGAGCUAAUACCGGAUAAUAUAUUGAACCGCAUGGUUCAAUAGUGAAAGACGGUUUUGCUGUCACUUAUAGAUGGAUCCGCGCCGCAUUAGCUAGUUGGUAAGGUAACGGCUUACCAAGGCAACGAUGCGUAGCCGACCUGAGAGGGUGGUCGGCCACACUGGAACUGAGACACGGUCCAGACUCCUACGGGAGGCAGCAGUAGGGAAUCUGCCGCAAUGGGCGAAAGCUUGACGGAGCAACGCCGCGUGAGUGAUGAAGGUCUUCGGAUCGUAAAACUCUGUUAUUAGGGAAGAACAAAUGUGUAAGUAACUAUGCACGUCUUGACGGUACCUAAUCAGAAAGCCACGGCUAACUACGUG